rnacentral:rRNA from 1 species
UGGGGAAUAUUGCACAAUGGGCGCAAGCCUGAUGCAGCCAUGCCGCGUGUGUGAAGAAGGCCUUCGGGUUGUAAAGCACUUUCAGCGAGGAGGAAGGUGGUGAGCUUAAUACGCUCAUCAAUUGACGUUACUCGCAGAAGAAGCACCGGCUAACUCCGUGCCAGCAGCCGCGGUAAUACGGAGGGUGCAAGCGUUAAUCGGAAUUACUGGGCGUAAAGCGCACGCAGGCGGUUUGUUAAGUCAGAUGUGAAAUCCCCGGGCUCAACCUGGGAACUGCAUUUGAAACUGGCAAGCUAGAGUCUCGUAGAGGGGGGUAGAAUUCCAGGUGUAGCGGUGAAAUGCGUAGAGAUCUGGAGGGAUACCGGUGGCGAAGGCGGCCCCCUGGACGAAGACUGACGCUCAGGUGCGAAAGCGUGGGGCAGCAAACAGGAUUAGAUACCCUGGUAGUCCAGCGCUGUAAACGAUGUCGAUUUUGGAGGUUGUGCCCUUGAGGCGUGGCUUCCGGAGCUAACGCGUUAAAUCGACCGCCUGGGGAGUACGGCCGCAAGGUUAAAACUCAAAGGAAUUGACGGGGUCAUAGCUGUUUCCU